CUUUCUGAACCUUUUCUGUUUGAGUUAUGAUGAAAAAAAUAUGAUUUUCAUUAAUAUUUUGUUGGCAAGAAAACAAGUCUGACUUUUCAGCUAAGUUUUAACAAUGCAAACAUAAAUUUUAAGUCUGUUUAGGAAGGAUGUUUAACCCCUUAAGGACCAAACUUCUGGAAUAAAAGGGAAUCAUGACAUGUCACACAUGUCAUGUGUCCUUAAGGGGUUAAAGUGG